CUCACGUUGCCUGUGCGUCAGUGGCUGGCGCCUUUGCUGCUUGGCGGGUUGUCCAGGUAACCGCGGGAGUUGUCUUGGUCAACGACCAUCCGAGACCUGGGCGUCACGCAGUUGAAGCACCUGAGGACCCUGCUGAGCCCUCAGUUUUGAGAGAAAACCUGUGACGUAGAUGUAGAACAAAGGCACACGAAGACUGAUGGACCUGGAGACGCUCUGUACUCUGGAGACCAGCGCUGUGUUUACAGUACCCCUUUGCCUCUGCAAGAUGGAGCUGCGAAGGUGACUUGUAUGGCCUGGUCCCAGAACAACGCUAAAUAUGCUGUCUGCACAGUGGACCGAGUGGUAUUGCUGUACGAUGAGCAUGGGGAGCGGGAGAGACAAGUUCUCCACCAAGCCAGCUGACAUGAAGUGUGGCUGGAAGAGCUACAUGGUAAAGGGCAUGGCUUUCUCCCCUGAUUCCACUAAAAUUGCCAUCGGACAGACUGACAACAUCAUCUAUGCCUACAAGAUUGGAGAAGAUUGGGGUGACAAGAAGGUCAUCUGUAACAAGUUCAUCCAGACGGUAAAGUUCAGAGAGUGCUGUCACCUGUCUACAGUGGCCUGCAGAGUACAUUAUUGUCUUCGGACUGGCUGAAGGCAAGGUAACGGAGGAGAGGGAGACACAGGUUCGAUAAGCAAACACUAAAACUAACAAGUCGUCUACCAUCUAUGGGACAGACUCGUAUGUGGUGGCGCUGACAACCAAGUGAAUAACAGAAGUAGACUGGGACUGUCAGGACAAAGCUGCAUUUGAUGGAAAGGGGACUGUCACGGGGCGGAAGUCCCUCCCUCUGUGCCCACCUCUCUGCCUCUGCCCUUCAGUUGCUCUGGGAAAGGCAUCCUCUCAGGUCACGCAGACGGCACCAUCGUCAGGUAUUUGUUCGAUGAUGAAGGCUCCGGAGGGUCACAGGGGAAGUUGGUUAACCACCCAUGCCCACCGUAUGCCUUGGCUUGGGCAACCAACAGCAUCGUGGCAGCAGGCUGUGAUCGGAGGAUUGUGGCCUAUGGAAAGGAAGGCCACGUGCUACAGACUUUUGACUACAGCCGUAAUCCUCAGGAACGUGAAUUCACCACAGCUUCAGCAAGUCCUGGAGGCCAGUCUGUCGUGCUAGGAAGCUACGACAGUGGAUCUGAUUGGCAGCUACAACAUUGGUACUAUCAGUCACGAGAGCCGUGUGGAUUGGCUGGAACUUAAUGAGACUGGGCACAAGCUUCUCUUCAGGGAUCGGAAACUUCGUUUGCAUCUAUAUGAUAUUGAAAGCUGCUCCAAGACAAUGAUCCUCAACUUCUGCUCCUACGUGCAGUGGGUUCCCGGGAGCGAUGUGCUGGUAGCCCAGAACCGAAACAGCUUGUGUGUGUGGUACAACAUUGAGGCACCCGAGAGAGUCACCAUGUCCUCUAUCAGGGGCAACAGCCUUCUUGGAGACCCUGGAGAUGACCCCAGAAACAGAGGCAACGUGGAAAACCUUGAGCAAACUGGCCCUGGAGGCAAGGCAGCUCCGCACUGCUGAGAGGUAAGAGCUGUGGAACUGAAUGCUGGCCACUAGGAGGCCUGUGGGCUGCUUCUGUCCUGUGUGUGAGCACUGCUUCCCACACACCCCAACAACAUGAGCCCUUCCUGGUGCACU